rnacentral:rRNA from 1 species
GACGAACGCUGGCGGCGUGCUUAACACAUGCAAGUCGAACGGAAAGGCCCUGCUUUUUUGGGAUGCUCGAGUGGCGAACGGGUGAGUAACACGUGAGUAACCUGCCCUUGACUUUGGGAUAACUUCAGGAAACUGGGGCUAAUACCGUAUAGGAGCUCCUGCUGCAUUGUGGGGGUUGGAAAGUUUCGGCGGUUGGGGAUGGACGCGCGGCUUAUCAGCUUGUUGGUGGGGUAGUGGCUUACCAAGGCUUUGACGGGUAGCCGGCCUGAGAGGGUGACCGGGCACAUUGGGACUGAGAGACGGACCAGACUGCUACGGGAGGCAGCAGUGGGGAAUAUUGCACAAUGGGCGGAAGCCUGAUGAAGAAACGCCGCGUGCGGGAUGACGGCCUUCGGGUUGUAAACCGCUUUCGCCUGUGACGAAGCGUGAGUGACGGUAAUGGGUAAAGAAGCACCGGCUAACUACGUG